UCUCACCAAAACUCGUUUUAUUCUUUGAGAAGCAGCUCCAAAGAGUUAACGACGAUGGGCUCGUAACAGCGCCAGAAAAUCAAUUAAGAUGGAUUCGCGCAUAGUCGUAGCAGUUGCUCUUAUUUUAAACACUGUCGUUUGUGCUGACGUCAACAAUGUCCAUCAAAACAACAGCGUCGUCGAAGAUGUUACACGCCCGUUGACUGAAAAACUAAGCCAGCAAAAUGCGGGAAUCAGGCAUUUCCUAAAGACUGAUUUCCCACCAAGAAUUGGACCUUUGCAAUCAGAAAAGACACAAGCUGAAAAUUUUGCGGCAGAAUUUCAACAAUGGUAUGACUACCACUACGGAAAUAGGCCUUCACCCGGUGGUAAUCAACCUGGAGGAGGCAAUCCCCCUGGAGGGGGUGGUCACCCAGGCUGGGGUAAUAACCCUGGGGGAGGCAGUAAUCCCGGAGGGGGUGGUCACCCUGGCUGGGGUAAUAACCCUGGAGGAGGUGGAUGUUCUAGAAAUGGGCCUGCAUGUGAGUCUUGCAACAGCUGUUGUUCGUGCUGUAAUUCGUGCAGCCAAUGCUCUUCUGGUAGAUGUCAGCCCCCACCUCCGCCUCCUUGUCAAAUGAACAGAAAUAAUUAUUACGGUCGUGAUCUGCAUUCAGGGUUUGAAGACUGGGGAAAUCGAUGGGCAGAUAGAAAUAACUGGAACUAUCCACACUAUGAUAGCAAUUAUUACGGUCGUGGACUAGACUACGAUUCAUAUUAUUAGGGUCGCAAAUUUUUAAAGGUGAUAUUUGUCGGGCAUUGGAAAUGCAAAAUACUUACAUACUUAUUUUUUCCCAAUUGUAAACCGGACCUAGAUGUAUCAAGAACCAAUUGAUAGGUGUGAUUGUAGUUUAUAAUAAAAAAAAACUAUUGAUGUAUUGGUUUUAUGCAUUGCAAGGCUGUUGUACUGAAUAAACGCGUCAUUAAAA